rnacentral:rRNA from 1 species
ACAAGCCUGAGAAACGGCUAGUAGGACUAAGGUCUGCAGCAGGCGCGAAACUUACACAAUGCUAGAUUUUUGAUAAAUAGCGAUGUAGUGAAGAAAAAUAACGAUGUACUUGUUUUUAAACAAACUUGUACAAUUGGAAUGAGACGACUUUAAAAGGGUCAGUCGAGUAACAAAUGGAGGGCAAGUCUGGUGCCAGCAGCCGCGGUAAUUCCAGCUCCAUUAGCAUACAUUAAAGUUGUUGCGGUUAAAAAGCUCGUAGUUGAAUUUUGGACGAGCUCUUGGGCGCGGCGGCCGUCAAGGUUGGGUAUAUUCGUAUAUCUAGCUGGUCGUCGUUUGUCUGUUGAGUUCGUUGUUUCGUCACUUAAUCGAGUGCGAAGCGGGGCGGUGCUACUACGGUGAGAUAUUCUCUCGCUAAGCAACGCCAUGUUUACCUUGAGAAAAUUAGAGUGCUCAGAGCAGGCAGUUGGGAUGUAAAAGUCUCUUUAUGCUUGAAUAAUGUUGCAUGGAAUAAUAGAAUACGGCCUCGGUUCUAUUCUGUUGGUCUUAUAGAACAACAAACAAGUUGGUUUUGUGAGCGUCAACGGCUCUCUGAGUGUGUGGUUUGCUGGUGCGCCUGUUGUCUUGGAGUAAAAUCCAAGUACCACCGAGCCAGCAACCGCUAAAGCACAUUCUGAAAGUCAGCUCCUCCAACUGAGGCAAUGGUUAAAAGAAAUAGUCGCGGCGGCAUCAGUACUGCAUCGUGAGAG